GAUGAACGCUAGCGGCGGGCCUAAUACAUGCAAGUCGAACGGUGCAGCAAUGCAUAGUGGCAGACGGGUGCGUAACGCGUAUGCAACCUACCUUUUAUCGGGGGACAACAUUUCGAAAGAAGUGCUAAUACCGCGUAAGAUAGUAGUGGGACAUCCCACAGCUAUUAAACUUUCGGGGAUAGAAGAUGGGCAUGCGUCUGAUUAGCUAGUUGGCGGGGUAACGGCCCACCAAGGCGACGAUCAGUAGGGGAACUGAGAGGUUGAUCCCCCACACUGGCACUGAGAUACGGGCCAGACUCCUACGGGAGGCAGCAGUAGGGAAUAUUGGGCAAUGGACGGAAGUCUGACCCAGCCACGCCGCGUGCAGGAGGAAGGCGCUCUGCGUUGUAAACUGCUUUAGCAGGGGAAGAAAAGACUCAUGCGUGAGGAAUUGACGGUACCCUGAGGAAUAAAGCACCGGCUAACUACGUGCCAGCAGCCGCGGUAAU
rnacentral:rRNA from 1 species